rnacentral:sRNA from 1 species
UAUGAAGAACGAAGGUCUAUUGUGGUCA